GUGGGGUCCAGUACGUGGCAGGUGGUUUCCAGGGUAUCUAUCUCAAUGUCAUAUACCUCUCCCGUGGGCCGCUGUGGAGACAGAGGAUGAAGAGAUGCCUGGAUGCAAAGCUGGGGUUCCCUACUGUCCCCUGCUGGUAGUAAGGGGGAAGCGUGAUCCUUCCUCUGCUGGAGGAAGCAGUGUGUCUGUCCUUCACUUGCACAGAGGAAAGGAGUAGUGGGUAAGGCUUGGGUGAUUCCUUGGAGUUUUCCCUGCCAGUUCACCUGUUUCUGCAUCCUUUCUUCAAAGACCAGAAAGUCCAGAAGAUGUGCCCAAAUUAACUUCCUGAAAACACUCAGAGCUAGUGAAUAGGAGCCGGGCACUCCUGCGGUUCUCAAACCCUGCUUUGGAAAAUGAAAGAUUACCAUUUACUUACUGAAAAUGAAGGAGACACUAGAGGAUCUUUUGAUAUGUUUUCCAAGAAAACUGUGACAAAGGAUGCCCAAGGGAGGCUCUAAGUAUUUCACUGUGCCUGGAGACACCACUUUCAAACUCUGAAAGAUUUUCACACAACAAAUGCAUAUAUCCAUCCUUGAGUGAUCUUGGGCCCAGGUCUGCAAUAAAACAACGUCUAAUAGCACAAUGAGGAUAUCAGGAACUUGUUAGAGCUGGUUGGGAAGAGCAGUCCCAAAGAUCCAAGGAGCAGAAGAGGACCAACAACCACCAGGAGAUGGCAGCAGGGUGCUAAGCAGUGCUUGGUGUGUGGAGUUCAUGGGCUGAUGGCGGAAUUCCAAGAUGGCAGCUAGGGUUGGCACCAGCUGCUCUGCGUUUGUGAGUAGGGCUGUCCACUAGGGCGGCGAUGCGUUCAAAUUUCUCCAAAGCAGAAUUCAGCCUUGAGAGUUGUUAGCUGGGAGUCAGAUAAGGAUGGUGGCAAGUGCAGAGUCAGAGUUGCUGGGGGUUGGUUCUGUUAGGGCCCUGCCAGCAGACAGGAAUCUCGGAGGGGAAAGAUAGAGCUAGAAGGGGGUGAAAUAUCAAGUCAGGCAGUGAGGGCUCAGGUGAGAGCUAGUGACAUGAACAAGUGCACGUCAGCAAAAGCCAGCGGAGCCAUUGGUUUUCACAGGGAGGAAGUGGCAGUGGUUGGUGUUUAAAUUGUUGGGCCAGAUUCUUGGCUCUGCCCUUUCUGGUACUUAAAGGGCCUAGGUCCUAAGAAGCCCAGUAGUGAUUUCUGAUUAGCCAGGUAUUUCUUCAUCCUUAUGGGUAUUUACUGAACACCUACCAUCUGUGAUGUCAGGUGCCUGUAACAGAGUGAUGAGAAAACAGUCUGCACUAAAGGAGCUUACCUUAACUCCCUUGGUCCAGCAACAUCUGAUCAGCCAAGAGCUGUAAGUUAUAUGACAUGAUUGUGUUGUAUGUCCUAGGGAGACAGGUUGGGGUUUAUAGCUCCAGUGUAAAACCCUUGAUCAAUAAAAUGCAAAUUGCCCUUCUCCAAGGA